rnacentral:lncRNA from 1 species
CUGGGUGGGGCUGAGACUCCAUAAAAGCUUCAGCUGACCUCACUGGGAAGCUCUGGAGCUGGCCGGGCCCUGUGGCAUCAUCCUGAAUUGGAGAGAAGGGCCCAAGGCCUUGUACACUGGUGUUGACCAGGGAGGGAUGGGGACUGUCUCUGGAGAAGCAAAAGCACUCUUAGCAGAAUCUUUUUUUUUUUAAGUGUUGGCCGCAUGGUUGGCUUCUGGCUGUAUUCCCAGCAGCGGGAGAGUAAGUCCUACAUUUGUGCAGGGGCUUCUGGUGGCAUCACUUGGCAUCAUGGGUUAAGUUUAGAAGACAGACUCAUCUAGUCGAUGGUCUGUUCUUAAUUUGAGAAAAAUCAAUGUUUUGCAGCUAAGUGGAAUUUUAAGUCUGGUUUCAUUAAGUCAUUUCAUUUAACAGUGUCAUUCAGCCAUUCCCUGAAGAGGAAGACCUGCAGGCCCUCUGUAUGUGGGGCACUGGCAAAGACGUUUGAGUUAGGUGCGAUAUUCGAGCCAUGGGUCUUGUAAUGGGGAAGCGGAUGAUCACUUUUGGAGAAUUGGGAAAUGGGACCUUCAAGGUGAAAUGAACAGUAGCAAUCUUGGGGAUGAUAUGGUGAUUCUUUUUUCUUGUGUGGGAGCGAACCGGGGAUUGAACUCAGGGAUACUUAACCACUGAACCACAUCCCCAGUCCUAUGCUGUAUUUUCCUUAGAGACAGGGUCUUGCCAAGUUGCUUAGUGCCUUUCUUUUGCUGAGGCUGGUUUUGAACUCGCGAUCCUCCUGCCUCAGCCUCCCGAGCCACUGGGAUGACAGGCAUGCGCUACCAUGCCUGACAAGAUGGUGAUUCUUCAUCCCAAGACUAAGAACACCUGACUCAUACAACUGAAAUACAUACAAAAGAAUACUCAAUUUAGUCUCAAAGCUGAUUCCUUUAUACAUUUAUUAAAUGUUAUCAGUAAGAAUUGUGGCUCAAUUUCCUUUCUUAUUUUUUAUUUGUUCUUUUUAGAUACACAAGACAGAAGAGUGUAUUUUUGACAUCAUAUACCUACAAAGAGUCUACCUUUCCAUUCUUGUGGUUAUACAUGAUGUAGACUUUCACUUGUCAUAUAUUCAUGUAUGAACAUAGGAAAGUGAUGUCCCAUUCCUUCUACUGUCUUUCCUGUUCCCAUCCCCUCUUUAACCCCUGGCCAAUCCAGUGAACCUUAACCCCCCCAUUUGUGUUGGCAUCUGCAUAUCAGAAAGAGUAUUCAGCCUUUACUUUUUUGGGAUUGGCUUAUUUCACUUAGCAUAAUGGUCUCCAGUUCCAUUCAUUUACUUGCAAAUGCCAUAAUUGCAUUCUUUUUUAUGGCUGAGUAAUAUUCCAUUGUGUAUAUAGACCACAUUUUCUUUAUCCAUUCAUCUGUUGAAGGGCACCUAGGUUGGUUCCAUGGCUUGGCUAUUGUGAGUUGAGCUGUUAUAAACAUGGAUGUGGCUGCAUCACUAUAAUAUAACUGGGUCAAAUGAUGGUUCCAUUCCAAGUUUUACAAAGCAGAACUUUAUACUGGUAUGUGGAGGGUUGUGGACUAAGUUCAAGAUUAUGCAAAAGUAUUUGUGGUAUUCAAAUGAUGGCAAGAAAGAUCUCAUUUGGAACAUAUCAAAUGCUGAAAUAAUUGCUUCUGUGUGAUGUCUCUGAACAUUCAUGUAUGACACAUGCUCAUGGGGGAUUUUGGAGUUUUUAGGAAACACUAGUUAUCAAGUGUGGUUUCCUCCAAUGAGGCAAUUCUGUACCAGUGACCAAUUAUUUCCUUCACUCCUCCAUUCACUGGUUCAUUCUUUCACUCAAUGCAAGGUUGUGUGUCAUCCAUCUCUAGUCAGCACCAUUCAUAUCUCUGCCUACGUGGAUGGUGCCCCUGGAGUUGGGCAGUGCCCUUCCCAACCAUGUUCAUUGGCUCUCAUUCAACAACAUUUGCAGGAGGAGCAAGUUCUAGGCAUUGUGUUAGGUGUGGAGAAAAGAACAAAAAGUGAGACAUACUUCAUGCUGUCGUGGACCUCUAUUUUCAAUGAAAUCAGAAGGAGAGAAGAGGGAGGAAGGGAAGAAAGAAGAGGAGGA